AACCAUUGUGUAAGCUGCUCCGUCGGCGCCAGGUUUCUGUCGUCAGACUCUUGGUGGUAUUUAAUCUAUAUUGCUGAAGACAUUACGUUUCGCUCUCACUUCUUUUUGUACUCGAAUUUUUUUAAUCGUUAUGGUCCAGCUUUGACGUUAAAUCGCUAGCUCUUACACAGCUGGCCAGGUAUGCUUUCACGUAGACUUCUUGGAGGAUAGGCGAUCCUGCUUCAACGGGGAUCCCCCAUCUUAAGCAGCCCGAAGAUACAUUUUUCUGCCAAAAUCAAGAAGCUUGUUUCUGCCCCCAGUAUUCUCUGUGCCUGUGUCAGCUAUGGAGACCACUGAGGUAACUGUGGCUGUCAGAGGAGAAACAUCCCCAGGGGAGGUGAUUGCAGUUGUUGGUAGCUGUGAAUCCCUGGGAGGCUGGAGCCAUGAAAAAGCAGUGAUCUUACAUCCUCAUGGGAAUGAUGGAAAUACUUGGACCACAACAAUCACUGUGCCUAAAGGAGUUGUCGCCAAGUACCGCUAUCUCAAAGGUUUCUUCCUUGAGUCAAAGAGUGCAGGUGGUCCCUAUCAAGUGAUAGUCAAUAUGUGGGAGACCCAUCAACACCCGCGCACGAUGAGCCCCACAGGAUCCCACCAGAAUAUUGACGAUGGACAGUUUGGAAUUCACAACGGGGUGAAUUGUGUGGACUCUGGCUGGCUCACGUGCCAGACUGAGAUUCGUCUGCGCCUGCACUAUUCUAAGACUUCUCCAGUAUCAAUUACUAAGAAGAAAUUCAAGAAGUCACGCUUCAGAAUCAAGCUGACGUUAGAGGGGUUUGAGGAGGAGGAUGAAGAUGAAGAUGAGGAGGAAGAAGGCCAGCUUAGUCCUGCCUCUUUGCUCAGGGAGACCACCACUCUGGAGAUCAGCAUGAUCAGUGCCAACGGCUAUAAGUCCCGCCACUCGCAGCCUGAAUGUGGCAAUGCACUGGAGCCCUCCCAGUGGACCGAGUACAACAUCCACACAAUGGACCCCUACAACCUGGAGCUCACCUUUGAGUUCUUUGAGGAGGAUAUGGGUGAGCAUGUAGUCCAGGGUGAUGCACAUCCAGGAUUUGUGGGCACAGCUUGCCUCCUCUCCUCCUCUUUCGCGGAGAGCGGUAAGGACUUUGGAGUAGCCACACUUCCCAUAAUGGGCCGAAAUUCCAGACAGACCAUCGGAAAAGUCAGAGUGGAUUACCUGGUGAUGCGGCCUAUCCAGGGUUUGCAUUGUGACAUGAGCUCCUCCUUCACCAAGUACUGGAAGAAAAGAAGUACUCUGGAUGUGGGUCACAGAGGAGCUGGCAGCACACACGCAGCCAAGCACCACAGAGUUAGGGAGAACACCAUAGCCUCAUUCAAAAGCGCUGCCCAGCAUGGCGCUGCCUACGUAGAGUUUGAUGUUCACCUCUCCAAAGAUUCUGUUCCCAUCGUAUACCACGAUCUGACAUGCUGCAUUUCCACCAAGAAGAAAAAUGACAAGACUUCUCUGGAGCUUAUUGAGGUGCCAGUCAAAGACUUGACCUAUGAUCAGCUGCAGCUUCUGAAGCUGGCCCAUGCCGCCGCAAUAAAAGAAAACAAUGACAAAGUCUCUUCAGAUUUGCCGGACGAUGAAGAAGAGGUUGAUGAACAUCAGCCAUUCCCUUCACUCACACAGAUCUUCCAAGCUAUUCCUGAGCAUGUGGGCUUCAACAUUGAGCUUAAAUGGAUUUCCCAGAUGAAGGACGGGUCAUGGGAUGGCAACCUAUCCUCCUACUUCAACAUGAAUACCUACCUGGAUAUCAUCCUGUCCUGUGUCCUGCAAAGAGGCGGGAAAAGACGUAUUGUCUUCUCCUGCUUUGACCCAGAUAUCUGCACCAUGGUGCGUCAAAAACAGAACAAGUACCCCAUCCUCUUCCUCACUCAGGGAAUUUCCAAGAAGUAUCCUGAACUGAUGGACAUCCGCUGCCAGACCACUCAGAUCGCCAUAAGUUUCGCCCAGAGUGAGAAUAUUAUGUGGAUUUCCUUACUUGCUCUUUCUAGGGAAUCAGUGCCCACACUGAGGAGCUGUUGAAGAACCUUUCCUACAUUGGGGAUGCCCAGUCUAAAGGCCUGGUGGUGUUCAGCUGGGGGGAGGACAACAACGAGCACGAGACCAGGAGGACGCUGAGGGAGCAGGGAAUCGAUGGCCUCAUCUACGAUAGCAUCUGUGAGGAGAAGGGGGAGCAACCUAACCUCUUUCAGGUAGAGGAGCAACACACUCUGCAGGAGGUGAUAACAGAGGAGACACGCAACAGCUCCUCCUGUUCCUGCUACUCCAUCCCCUGCUCCAUGGCUCCCUGCGUUUCCUCCAAGGUCUGUUCUGGCAGCGGAGAGUCUGAUUCCGGCCUCAGCUCCUCUUAACUUAGGUCUUAGUGGAGCAAUUUGGGAAUGGAUCAGCCAACGAAACAACAGAUUCUGUCUUUUGUCUUGCAUGUCCACAAAUUGUAAUUUAUGCUUUCUAUUGAAAUAGGUGGAUGUUUUGCCAAAACAUUAAGACAGCCAUGUUUUUAGUUUUUUCAGGCCGAGGUCUUCAUAAUAGUGGAACAAUGGGAAAUCUUACAUGACAGUGAAUAUUUUUUAUUUGGCUAAUAUGUUGCAUCACUUCGAGUGCUCAAAUUCUGGUACUUUUGAUAUUUUCUUUACAGCUCUAACAGAGCUGUAAAUUCAAGUCCUAAACUUUAUAAAGAUGAAGCCUAAUGCUGUUUUCUGUUUCUGCUGUGCAUGUAGCCAUUACUUUAAAAGUGUUAUUUUUAUUGUAUCGCUUAGCAAUGAGUAUUAGCUACUGAUUGCUAUUUCAGGUUCACCACAAAAAUCAUUUGGGAGUUAUAGGUUGUCACUAAUGGACACGUAGAUUAUCUACUGCAAGUAUAAGAGAACUGAUUAAUUUAUUUCCUUUUCAGUGGACUGUCGAAAGCACUUACUCCUCCUUUCCACACGAAAUGCUUAUGUCUGUAAAGAACUCAUAGCUAUUAUUGUAAACAGCAUUAUGGAUGCACUAUAUCCUUAAUUCUUUCUACAUACUUGAUUAGUGGAAAAACAGAUGAAUGUUUUAUUUGACAGUGCACACACACAGCCUUAAGGAAAGGAGGGGGAGGUCAGGCCUGUUUCUGUUUUUUUUGUUUUAAACCGCCAAUACCUCACUCCUCAUCGAUUAGAUUAGAUUAGAUUAGAAUAGACUUGAGUUGAGAUGUACGUACAGAAUUAAGAAAUACUCCCUUUAUGUUCUUCUUAUAAAUUGUACUUAACUUCACCUCACCCAUGCUUUUUAUUGCACGGAAGAUAUACCUUUUUGGUGCUAACUACGCUUGAAGUGUUUCAUCAUUUGCAUAUUGAUAUGGUGUAUUAAUAUAACGCAAUGAUAAUGCAGCAUUUUGAUCACAGCAAAACAAAUCCAUUUACUGGCUGUAUAUCGUCUUGCUGUCAGUAUAUGGGCACAAUCUCUUUACUACAUACAGUAAUGAUUGAGUUGUGCAUGGUCUGUAUGAAUCAAUGAGUCUAGUGUGUAAAAACUGUCAUUUCAGGGCAGAAGGGUGUAAAAGGUAUUUUAAAUAAAAUUAAAACCUAUAUUUGUUUA